UAAUAUCGCAUCAAUCCCUAUGGAGACGAUAAAACAAAUACCCACUGAAAACACUUUCAAGAAAAUGGCUUCGUUGUCGGGAUUGUUGUUAUGAUAUUGUAAGCAUUGCAAUAGUUUAUCAUGUUUUAAGUUUUUUUUAUAUUGUUAUCCCUUAUCUCAUUUCUUAUCCAUUGUGCUUUUUUUCUAUAUCUUGGUUAGAUCUUUC
rnacentral:lncRNA from 1 species